rnacentral:rRNA from 1 species
GACGAACGCUGGCGGCGUGCUUAACACAUGCAAGUCGAACGGAAAGGCCCUGCUUUUGUGGGAUGCUCGAGUGGCGAACGGGUGAUUAACACGUGAGUAACCUGCCCUUGACUUUGGGAUAACUUCAGGAAACUGGGGCUCAUACCGGAUAUGAGCUCCUGCUGCAUGGUGGGGGCUGGAAAGUUUCGGCGGUCGGGGUUGGACUCGCGGCUUAUCAGCUUGUUGGUGGGGUAGUGGCUUACCAAGGCUUUGACGGGUAGCCGGCCUGGGAGGGUGACCGGGCACAUUGGGACUGAGAGAGGGCCCAGACUCGUACGGGAGGCAGCAGUGGGGAAUAUUGCACAAUGGGCGGAAGCCUGAGGCAGAAACGCCGCGUGCGGGAUGACGGCCUUCGGGUUGUAAACCGCUUUCGCCUGUGACGAAGCGUGAGUGACGGUAAUGGAAGAAGAAGCACCGGCUAACUACGUG